rnacentral:rRNA from 1 species
GAUGAACGCUGGCGGCGUGCCUAAUACAUGCAAGUCGAGCGAACAGACAAGGAGCUUGCUCCUUUGACGUUAGCGGCGGACGGGUGAGUAACACGUGGGUAACCUACCUAUAAGACUGGGAUAACUUCGGGAAACCGGAGCUAAUACCGGAUAAUAUUUCGAACCGCAUGGUUCGAUAGUGAAAGAUGGUUUUGCUAUCACUUAUAGAUGGACCCGCGCCGUAUUAGCUAGUUGGUAAGGUAACGGCUCACCAAGGCGACGAUACGUAGCCGACCUGAGAGGGUGAUCGGCCACACUGGAACUGAGACACGGUCCAGACUCCUACGGGAGGCAGCAGUAGGGAAUCUUCCGCAAUGGGCGAAAGCCUGACGGAGCAACGCCGCGUGAGUGAUGAAGGUCUUCGGAUCGUAAAACUCUGUUAUUAGGGAAGAACAUACGUGUAAGUAACUAUGCACGUCUUGACGGUACCUAAUCAGAAAGCCACGGCUAACUACGUGCCAGCAGCCGCGGUAAUACGUAGGUGGCAAGCGUUAUCCGGAAUUAUUGGGCGUAAAGCGCGCGUAGGCGGUUUUUUAAGUCUGAUGUGAAAGCCCACGGCUCAACCGUGGAGGGUCAUUGGAAACUGGAAAACUUGAGUGCAGAAGAGGAAAGUGGAAUUCCAUGUGUAGCGGUGAAAUGCGCAGAGAUAUGGAGGAACACCAGUGGCGAAGGCGACUUUCUGGUCUGUAACUGACGCUGAUGUGCGAAAGCGUGGGGAUCAAACAGGAUUAGAUACCCUGGUAGUCCACGCCGUAAACGAUGAGUGCUAAGUGUUAGGGGGUUUCCGCCCCUUAGUGCUGCAGCUAACGCAUUAAGCACUCCGCCUGGGGAGUACGACCGCAAGGUUGAAACUCAAAGGAAUUGACGGGGACCCGCACAAGCGGUGGAGCAUGUGGUUUAAUUCGAAGCAACGCGAAGAACCUUACCAAAUCUUGACAUCCUUUGACAACUCUAGAGAUAGAGCUUUCCCCUUCGGGGGACAAAGUGACAGGUGGUGCAUGGUUGUCGUCAGCUCGUGUCGUGAGAUGUUGGGUUAAGUCCCGCAACGAGCGCAACCCUUAAGCUUAGUUGCCAUCAUUAAGUUGGGCACUCUAAGUUGACUGCCGGUGACAAACCGGAGGAAGGUGGGGAUGACGUCAAAUCAUCAUGCCCCUUAUGAUUUGGGCUACACACGUGCUACAAUGGACAAUACAAAGGGCAGCGAAACCGCGAGGUCAAGCAAAUCCCAUAAAGUUGUUCUCAGUUCGGAUUGUAGUCUGCAACUCGACUACAUGAAGCUGGAAUCGCUAGUAAUCGUAGAUCAGCAUGCUACGGUGAAUACGUUCCCGGGUCU